GGCGGGGUCACAGCGAGGGGCGUGGCCAUGGCCAGGGGACUGGGCAAAUGCCUUGGAAGAGAGUGGGGAAACUCAUAGAAAGCUCAUUUUACAGAUGAGAAAAUUGAAGCAAACAGUUAAGUGACAUGCCCAAGGUCACAGAGCUAGUAAGUAUCUGAGGCUGGAUUUGAACUUGGGUUUUCUUGAUUCUAGAUUUAGCAAAAUAUCUACUGAACCACCUAGUUACCCACAUAUACAUAUAUAUUUAUGCAUAUUUGUUACAAGGGAUUUGCCUUUCUUUUUCAAUGGAGGGGUGAAGGUAGGGCAAAUAGGAGAGGAAAAGAUAGAUUUUGGUUAAUUUUUAAAAAAUAGUUUCCAGGAGAAUUAUUUUCCAUGAUUCUAGACUCUACCUACUCUAACACAUUCUAGAAGAGCUUUUUGGAUAAUUUGGUAAACACUGCCUUUAUACACCAUGCCCUUCAGGACUCAGUAGUGGCUUCCCAUUGUCUAAAAGAUGAACUCUAAACACUCAUAGUGAAUGAAUAUCCAUCAAAUGGCCUGACCCCAUCUUCAAAACUCUUCUUUGAAAAUUGAACCAAGAUGUUUGUUUCUUUUACAUCCUUUUCUUUUUUUUUUAAACCCUUACCUUCUGUCUUAGAACCAAUACUUGGUUUGAACCAAUACUGAGAUUUGAUUUGAACCCAGGUCUUUUUGACUCCAGGCCUGAUGUUCUAUCCACAGAUCCACCAAGGUACCCCAUUUCCUUUGUGUCUUGAAAGUUUGUAGAGCAGCCAGACCCUAUAAGGGUUCUAUGAUUCUCUGAAGACCAUUUCCAGGCAGUGAUUGGACUGAAGUGGUGCCAUAGUAAGUGAUUUCCCCCUCCUCCACAUUCUAAGUUAAUCCAAAUUCACUUUAAAUAUAUAUAGAUAUAAAUGCUAUGCCAAGUGCAAACCUGUUGUGUUAUAAUUUGAAAUUCAUGAUGAAAUAAGCAUAUUUGACAACGUUUCUCAUGCUAUUUUGGAUAAGAUAGGGAAAUGUAGGCUGAAUGAAUGAAUGUAUGAAUGAAUGUUAAAGCAUUUAUUAAGUCCUUACUCUGUGCCAGGCACUGCACUAAACCCUGUGGAUAUAAAAACAAAAGCAAACAGUGCUUGCCCUCAAGGAGUUUAAAUUCUAUCAGGGGAAAACAAUAUAUAUGGGGAAGUAGUGGCCAGUGAAGGAUAUUUUAAUUUGUAAAGUUAUAGGAACACAAGUAAAGCCAUUGAGAAUAGAUUGACAUAUAUUUCCAAAAGCAAUGGAAGUACUAAUUUGAUUAUAACUCUAGAACUAGACAGUAUAGGAGUGGGUAGGGCAGGUUUGUGGAAAUCAGGAAGCUGUCAAGAAGAUGGUGAAGGAAUAAAGUGAAUCGUGCCUCAAGUAGCAGGCCCGAAUCACCCAUAUAGGACCUUGGGAGCUCCAGGGUAGGAAUUUUAGAGCUAGAACAAUGAAAAUAUUGUAAAGUAUGUUUCUGACCUUAGUGGCAAAAUGGCUGGACAUAAGAUGGCAGGGGAGUAAGUAAAAUGAUGGAGCAGCUAUGUGGCACAGUAGAUAGAAUACCAAGCCUCAAGUCAGGAAUAUGCCUUUUCCUGAGUUCAAAUAUGUCCUCAGAUACUUAUUAGCUAAGGGACUCUGGGCAAGUCACUUAACCCUGUUUGCCUGAGUUUCCUCAUCUGUAAAAUGAGUUGAAGAAGGAAAUGAUUUGCCAUUUGGGUAAAAUGAUAAUACAGUUAACUAGAUUUAGAAUAAAUUGAAUGAGUGGUCCCAAAGACUAAUCACAGAUGAUAAAUUCUAUUUGCCUUAUCCUUAGCAUAAUGCCUGGUGCUUAGUAAGUUCUUAAUAAAUGUUUGGUGACUGACUGAAGGUCAACGUGGAAGGAAGUCUCUUUCCAGUGAUGUACCUCAGGGAUCUCUUUGGCUCUCUUUAAUUAAUGAUCAGUCAAUAGCAUUUAUCAAGUGCCUAUUAAGUACCAAGCACUGUGUUAGGUUUUAAGGAUAUAAAGGAGGGGAAAAUGAACCAAUUCCUGUUAAAAAUGUAGAUUACAUUCGAUCAAAGGAUACAAUAUAUGAAUAAAAAUGUUCACAGAGCAUACACAAAAUCCAUUCAAGGUAAUUUGGGGGAACAAAGGCCCUAGGAGCUGGGAGCAAUCAGGGAAGGUUUCAUGUAGAAGGUGGUGCUUGAUUUGAAUCUUAAAGGAAAUAAGGGAAUCUAAGAGGCAGAGAAGAGGAUGUGUGUACCAGGCAGGGGGUGCCACCUAUACAAAAAGCCCAAAGAUAGGAGAUGGGGUGUUAUGUGUAAAGAAUAGCAAGAAGGUGUUUGGCUGAACUAUAGAGGAGAGGAAGUAGAGUAGUUAUAAUAGAAUAGAGACAUAGAUAGAGCCAGGUCACAGUAAACAUAAUAAGUAAUAAUUAAUAAUUGCCUAUUGAUUGCCUAAUUUGUAAUAUAAUAUUUAUAUUGAGAGGCAAUGUGGUAUACUGGAUGGGGAGAUAGCCUCAGAGUCUGAGUUCAAGUCUGCAUACUAGCUGUGUGACUCUGGACAAGGUAUUCUUCUCUCUCUCUCUCUCUCUCUCUCUCUCUCUCUCUCUCUCUCUCUCUCUCUCUCUCUUUCUAAAUUAGUAUAAUGUGUUUUCUUAUAAGGACUCCUCUACAUCAGUGGAAAAAAAGUCAAGAUAUGGUAAAUGGUCAAAUCGGCUUUAUUGUGUACAUCUAACAGCAAUUGGAAACAGUAUUUCAUGGGACACAAGUUCAUCUUAUAUUAAAGUUCUUACUUUAAAUAUUUAAUUAAUGAAAACAAAAUAAAUAAAACAAUCCCAUGAAAAUAAUUGCAACUUAAAUGCUAACAUCAAAUGAGAUAUUUGUAGAGUACUUGCAGAUUGUAUAUAUUAGGAAGUAGGUGCUAUAUAAAUGCUUAUUUCUUUCUUUUCUCCCCAAUACCACUUGCAGAAGAUGAGGCAGUAGAGAGAUUCUAUGUAGAACUUGAUAAGAGCCUACAAAUUAAAUCAGCCUAUAUUUAAUAGAGGCAGAUAGUUGGCUCAUGGAUUAGAGUGAAAGUCCUGGAGUCAGGACAGAUCUGAGUUCAAAUCCAGUUUCAGACACUUGCUUGCUGCGUUAUCCUGGAAAAGUCACAUAACUUCUGUUUGCCUUAUUCCACUAGAAAAUGAAAUGCGAAAUCACUCCAGUAUCUUUGCCAAACAACUCCCCCCCACCCCAAGGGACAGUAUUAGUGUGCUAUGAUCCAUGGAGUUAUGAAGAGUCAGAUGUAACUGAACAAUAAUACUUUAAUAAUGGGUAUAAUAUAAUAAUAAUCCUAAGGUGGUUAUGGGAAUGACACUGAAGAACUUGUUGGGAAAUAGAGUUUAGUUAUAAGCAAAUAGAUACCAAAGGCUUAUAUAUAUUAUAUAGGAGCUUCACACCUAUAUAUCAUGAAUACUUUCUUUGGGAAAAGAACCAUUAGGUACUGUUAAUGUUAAAAACUGUAAAUGCCAAACUGUACAGGUUUUGGCCAAACUGUAAAGGAUAAUUUUAGUGUUUGACUUAAAAUCUAAAAAUAAGUGGUCGCCAUGGGAAAAUUCCCAAAUAUGAAAAUACCCAAGUCAGCUGGGUUUUAUGGAGAUUUUAAUUAAUAUAAAUGAAGGAAUUAAGGAAAGGGGAGAGAGAGAGACAAUAGCCAAGCAGUAGAAAAUAGCCUAGGCCAAAAUGGCCUAGGCCUGAGCCUAAGGGAGAGCAAGUCAUUCUUUAUCACUCACCACAAGAUUGUCUCCAAGCAAGUUCUUUCCCUCCGAACUGAAAAUCUUCACCAAACUGAAUUCAUUUGUGAACUCAAUUCAAAUGCCCCUCACUUCAACUCCAAACUCCAACUCUGAACUCCCACUCAAAUUCAAUAAGCCCUUCCUUUUAAAGAAAUUUUCUCUUAUGUCACUUCCCCUAAAAUUUCAGGUCUACCAAUCACAGUAGACACUUUUUUCCAGGACUACCCAUUCUUAGUUCUCAUCUUCUUUGGUUCUCACCUUCUCUGGUUAGAUAAAAUGCUCUGAGUACUUCAUACUUCUUUUGUUAAGCUUGCCUUUUGUAAGUUGCUUGACCUUUUAGAUACUAAUUUAACCUUUAUAGGUGCUUAGCAUCCUUUUGUAUUAGCCAGCAGGGGUUCUCAAGAAUGCUUUUUAUCUUGAUUAGUGACUAAGAAAGGGGUCAUUCACUUUGAUGGUUGUAACAUGGUUGUUUCCAAGGAACUGAUAUCACUUUAUCCAUGGUCCACUUUGCUCUGCAAGGCUUUACUCAUGGUUCACUCUGCCUGCUCAGGGGAACAAACCACAAUGUAAACAGGAUGCUAAUGAUAUGUUAAAUACCCUGGGGGAAACUUUUGAUCAAGUUUUGCUUUUUUUCUGCAUAGAUGUAAGGAGGGGCAGUGAGUGUGGAAACUGAGCAUUGUGACUGGGAAACUGACCAUUCAGAGACCCCCAACCAAGGGCCUAGGUUAUGUCUAAAGACUGAUGUAAAGAAUUUUCUCAUAAUUGUGAAUCUAAGCAACCCAUAUGUCUUCUCUGAAAAUGACCCUAUGCUAAUCAACUAGUUAUUUUUGAAUGUGUACAGCUACUUGGCAGCCACACUAGGGGGGAGGGCACUCUAUCUAGGCAUGGAGGGGAUGGCCAGGGCCAAGAUGAUAUUGAAGAAUAACAAGUGACAAAGGAGGAACUUAGGGAAUCAUAAAUCAUAGGACCACAGAUUUAGAAGAAAAUUGGGGCCCAAAGAGGAAGUGACUUUUACAUGGUCAUCCUAGUCUUGGAUUCCAGGUGUCCCAUAUUCUUUAUGCAACAUUAGAGCUGCCUCUGCUCUUAUUAGCCAAGAACCUUUGACCCCAGAGUAUCCUCCUUUCAGGCUGAGUUUUGAGGAAAUGUACACAGAGCUAACUUCUCUGCUACACAGUCAGAACUUUCUCACUACCAAAGUAGUAUGUAGUGCAUGGUAGUAACAUCUAUCUCUUGGUCCCUCCCCUUUUUUCAUUUAGAAAAUUUUUGUCUCAUGUAAGGAUUAUAUAAAGUACCUCAAAGCCUUAUGGGAAGCAGGUGAAGUGUGAAUAAACAUUGGGAAGCAAGUGGAAUAUGAAUAAACAUGGAGAGAAUCAAGCCUAGGCAUUAUUUGAUUCAGCUAUUCACAUUUAUUUACUGGUAAUUUCAAAACACUGACAAACACAUCACACUUUGCUUGUAACUCCCCCCCACCCCACCCCCAUUUAGACUUCUGUAUACUUGGGACAUAAAGCUUCAGAUUUGCUGUAUCCACUUGAACCAGAGUAUUUUCUUCAUGAAAACACAAAAAAUGGUGCAAAUAUCAAAAACGUGCCCAAAAAAUGUGCAAAAGAACAAAAGUGCAAAAGUUUCCUUUGUUGUUAUCACCACAAUCAUCCCCACCACCCCCAAAUGCCAAACUUAAACAGAAAGGGCCUCUCCCCUCUCCAGGCCAGGGCUAGGCUGGGGCCAAAGGGAGGCAUCUCUCCAUCCCUCAGGAACCACCAGCAUGAUGGUGGUGUGUGUGUGUGUGGUAUGAGGAGAGGAGUAAAAGAAGCUAGGCCAGAAACAGUUUUCAAACUCCCUCCUGCCAUUAUCUCCAUCCUCACCUCUGGUCCCCCAUAUCCAAGUGCAAAGAUUUCAUUCUGGAGGGAUAUAAGGCAAUGACAGAAUUUUCUCCCCUUCUGUGAUUUUUCUUCUAUUCCAAAGUGUUUGACAUUGAUGCAGAAAGUAUGGAUGCUUCCAGGUUUGAAGAGGCCUCUUCCUCCAAGAGUUCCUGGCCCCUCUUACUUUCUCCACAACCAAACAACACAAGUCUUUGUUGGCAGAUUCAUUCCUCCCAGGAAACAAAAUACUGCCUUAGCACCUCACUUAGGGGGUCCUUGAAAGGCUAACCUAGCACCAGUCAUUUUGUCUCAUAGCAAAAGGUGAAAAAGCAUUUCUCUCCAUUUAACACAGAGGCAUGACUAGGAAAAAAAAUGCCAGGCCCAAGAAAGAGGAUUAGAGGUGGGUCAGUCAGAUGCCUUGCCUUCUUUGUGGCAGUUUGGCCUGGACAAACUCAACCCUAUCAACCACCAAAGGACUUGCCAGCCAUGCCCUCUUGAAAUGAGUCACCUAUCUUUCGGUUUUGGGUUUUGAGGUAUCUCCUCACUAGAUAAUGUGGAGGCAAAGGGUAUGAUUAAUUCAACUGGCACAAGCCCUAGAUAGCUGAAUGCAGAAAAGUGGGGGUGUAGAGCAGGCAGGACAAUGAAAAAACAAGAUACCCCCCCCAACAAGGCACCAAACUGCCUCAUCAACAGGGGAGUAGCUUAACCACCAAAGAGGAAACCCCAGAAACAGGGACUCCUGCCAGGUCCUUUAAGUCCCAAGUCAUUCUGGGAAAGCUGUUGCAGCUGGUUUUCCAGCCUUUUCACCUCAUCCCCAAAUGCCUUUGGCUUUAGAGUCCCUGGUCAAGAGAAGCAGUAGUCACUGUAGCACCAUAGUCAAAGACAACAGCAAGUUCUCAUCCUCCUGAGGGAGUGAUAUAGGUGGCACUAGGAUACCCUUUCCCAUAGUUCCCUAGGACUUGCUCCAUUUGUACCGGGAUACUUUCCUCCCAGCCCCAAGAAAGAGUCCUCGGUGACUCCAGAGGUUCUAUUCCCAACCUUCCACCCUACACAGCCACUAGACUGUCUUCCUACCCUGUUCUGCUCAGUAGUUUUCAGACUGAGGACCCAGGGCUUCUCAUUCCAGCUUCCUCAGAUCCAAAUGAACAGUAGCAGGGUCUACCUUGGUGGAUCAUGGGGUGGGAGUGGGCAGUGCUUUGGGUUUGUCUUUGUUUUGUUUUGAAAGAAAAAAAAUGCAAAUUGUAACAGUAAAUAGCCCUUAACUUUCUCCCUAAGCCCUGACCUUGUCCUGGGCAAAUGGCCUUUCAGGUCAGCACCUAUGGUCAGGGCUCCCUACACCCAAGAUAUUCCUCAGCUCCACAUGCUCCUAGUAUUUUCUCCAUACCACACACAUGACCACAGCAGCCCCUCACACAUACAUCUCUCUUUGCUGUAUCAUAUCUUGCUUUUUUCCUAUACCACACACAGACUCGACACCUUCUUCAUCCCCACAACAUAUCCCCAAUUCAUAAAUUCCGCCUCUACCCAUAGAUGCAUAUGCCCUUCCAUCAUCCUCUUUGCCCCUCCCCUAUAUGCCAUCCAUUUUCACAAUGCAUUCUUCCAUAUGGCCUUCAAAGUACAUCUGAUCAUGCACAUUUCACAUCCUUCCAAAGGCACGCUCACACUCGUAAUGUAUAGAGAUAAUAAAUAUUGCUCUCAAAGGUAGUCAACACUCAUAUACUUCUCCAUCCACACAUGAGCACUCACACGCACACAGGAUGCCCAACUACCAGUCACAUUUCAGCUAAUGUGUUCACACCAUGCAGACAGACUUAACUUCACAGAUACUAUAUAUAGGUACCUACACACAGACAGCACACCCCCAAGUCAUAUCCCCAUCUCCCCCACAUUCACAUCAUGCAUAAUUUCAUACUCAUAUACUUCUCUUACACAUACAUGAUCCUCCCUUCCCUACCCUCCCAACAUGCUCAUCACACACACACACACACACAUCCACUUUCUCUGGACUACUUCAUCUAGGCUUUAGUCCUGCAGAAUUACACAGUGAACAAAUUUAUAGGGCAGAGCCUGAGCAGAUCCAGGGGCCAGAGCAGAGCUGGUCUGCUUAAGUUGGGGCUUUUGCCACUGGGUGGGGAAAUCAACCUAACUGAAACUCAGCCCUAGGACCUCUUCCCACUAGGCUACUAGCUCCAGACUAAAGCCUGUAAGCCGGGAAGGGACAAGGCUGGUGCUCUAUGGACAAAUUCAUACCUUCUGGUCUUGGGUUUGCCUUUGUUCUUGGAGGCUGUGGGUUCUCAGAAUGGAAGAAAUGGUGUCCCUCCUCUACCUUUCCCAUGAAGUACAAGGUAGAUAGACACAGGGCUUUCUCUGUUCAGGGGUCUGUCUCCCUCGGCAAAGAGCUCCCAGUCCCUGAAGGGGUGGGACCACAAGGAGGAUUCAUGGUAAGGAUUUGGACCCAAGAAGAUCUUUCUUGCCCAUUCUCUAAAUUCCUCACCCAUUGAGACAAAAGAAUCCCACCACUUCAGCCCAGUCCCCUUCUCAGGAAGAUGGUGGGUGCCACUUAGGUCUAAGGGCAGAUUUGGCAGUGACUACUCAGGAUGGGGGUCCUCCUCCUGUCCCCACUCCCCUACCCCCAAGCAGAGGUGGGCUAGGGUCCCAGGAGUCCCCACUCUUGUAGGAAACAGUUUGGCAGUGGCAGAGAGGAAGGAUAGUUAUGAGAAAGGGAGGGAUGCCAGAGAACUCAUUACAAAAGAUAGAAAAGUUCACCUACAUGCGCCCCCAUACACACACACUCACAGCCUUCCCCCCACCCCAACAUCUCUUAUUUUUAAAAAUUUCUCAUGAAGAGCAAGCAGCAAACAUGUAAAUGACAGGUCAGAUGUGACCUCACAUACUCAGUAGUAAAGAGUCAAAAAUGCAACAUUUCCAUGGGAAGCCUAGCAUGAGUUUGACCCACACACCAAAGUGUAUUGUAGACAUGUAGCAGUGAAGACAGGUUGCUGGUGUUCCAUGAUGAGAGUGCCCAUCCCCAUCCUUGGGGGGCAGGGAGGGGCAGUGAUUGCGGAAAUGGGAACCUGACCCUUCCCCUGGCCCCAUGAGCCGCUCAGGGAUUUAGAAGAGAUUGUCCUGCAGGAGCUGGGCCAACCUCUCUCUCACUAGCAGUCACUCCCAAGCUCCUUUGCUUGGGGGUGGGGGUGGGGUUGGGGGAGACUUUAGCCAAUGAGAAGAGAGCAUGUUGGAAAAGCAAAGGAGUGGUCUAAAAAUAUUACCCAAACCUUUGUUUGCCUUGAAAGAGACUUUAGACUGUCUCCCAAACCCUGGGGCUGGGACCUUGGCACUGGACUUUGGGACAUCAUAUGGCCCAGGGUUGAAGCUCAAGGCAUGUUCGAAGAAGGCAUCUUGGCUCAAAUUCUGACCUCCUCAGCAAUGGGGAGGAAGGCAAUGAGGAAUUUGCCACAGAUCCUCUAAAAACAAGUCUCCCUGUGGAUUAGAAUAUCGGAGGGAAUAAAAGAGGAGUUGGGUGGGGCCUGGAUGGGCUCUACCAACAGAGGUGGUCUUGCCCAGGGAGCCAGGCCUGAGGUCAGGCAGGGUCACCAAUGACAGAAAAGGAGCUUGAGCCUUCACCAAGGAUAAGGGAGGAGAGGAAAACUGUAGUCUAAGGGUGAGCUAACGGAACAGAAUAGGAAAUCUGAAGAGGAGACAAAAAUGGUUGAAGACUUCAGAAAAAUUGUGUCAGAAGAAGAUGCUUCCUCUUGGAUGCUUCUCAUUCUGCCAAGCUUUUAAAGCUUUUGAAAAGUUGCUCUUGACUGCUCUGAAAAAGUCCAGUUGCCAAUAAAGUCCCCAGGAGGAGUUAUUGUGAGAUUUGAGGGACCCUACGAUUACAGCCACUCCAGGUAUUCCCUGAUCUGAAAUCCUGCCCCUACACCCCACCCCAGCACCCAAUAAUACCCACAACAAUUUUAGAAUGUGUGGGCACAAAGCUGGACCCAAGAUACUAUCUUGGAAGGAAGGCCUAUCUCCAGGCCAUGCUCUGCCUUUGCUGGGACCUCAGGAGAAAACUUGGCUUCUGGAGUUGGGGACUGCACUUUCUCCAAAGUCCCUCCAUACCCACUCCCUAGGGACCAACCCCAGAAACAUGGAGACCAAACCUGGGAUGGAAACGAACAAGACAGAGAGAGGAUGGGGAUGUAGGUUUGGGGAGCUGGGGCCAGAAGAUGUUAGCAGGAGGGGAAGGACCCCGAUGAUUGGGAGUCCUGGCCCAGGGAAACAGUCACUUUAAGGUAUCGUCGGCAUUUCUGAACAUGAGAAUGGCAUUAUAGAUCUUCAGGGCUGGGCCCAGCUUAAUACACAUGAUCUUCACGAUGUCCGCCUGGGUCAGCAAAAGGAAGGCCUCGCCAUCAAUCUUCUGGGGUUGGGGUGAUGGGGACAGGAAAAAGUGGUGAGGAGGGAAGGAAAGAGGGAAGAGAGGAAAAUAGAAAAAAAAGAAAGGUAGAAAAGGGAAAACAAGGGGAGACAGAAAGAAAGGAGGAGGGAAGAGAUGAAAAUGGUAAUCAGGAAAAAGACAAAAGGAGGAGAAAAGAAAGGAAGGAGGAAAAUAGAGAAGAGAAAGAAAUGAAAAGUAAGAAAGGAAAAGAGAAAAAGAAAGGAAAGAGUGACACAAGGGAAGGAAAAGGGGGAACAGGGAAGAAGGAGAAAAAUAGGAAGCCAGAAAAGAGGAGGUUGGGGGGGAUAAGGAAUAAAGGAAGAGGAACAGAGAGAUAGGGACCAAGAAGGAAAGAAAGAUGUAGUAGCUUCUCUCUAUAUAAACACACAGGCAUUUGCACAGGAACUGAUGGUUUAGGUACAAAAUGUCUUUGGAUUCCAUAAUAAUAUCUAAGUUUGGAACACUGGCUUCUGUGGUUUAAAACAGAAAUUACAAUGAGCCUAAGAUUUUUUUCCCCCUUUAGGAACAGUCACCAAAAACUUCCUAAGGAGGACAAUGUUUGAGCAAGGGAAAAUCUGAGCUGGCUGAAAGGUAUGAAUGAUCCGAGUUUCCGAGCAUAAUCUUGCCUCUGGUAAUUUUACCAAAUGGAUCAAGGAACCCCCUUGAUCAGUCUCCUUUGCGUAUACAGAUUGGCAGCUAUUAAUGUGAGUAACAGAACAGGGAUGGGAGUCACUGGGGCUGAGGGAGAAAUGAUGGGGAACUAGGGCUUUAGGAUAGAAAGGGAAAAGCCAGAAAGAUUCUUUGUGACUCAGGUUGCUUUGGGGCCCAAGGGACUAUUGGGGGGUGGGGAGGAAAACAGGGCUUUAUUAGAUGGUUUCUAGGGUCCUUUCUAGCUCUAAAGCUAUGAUCUUAUGACAGUCCUAGGGUCUUUGCCAAGAAAGCAUCAAGGGAGUUGUUGGUACCAUUGGGAAGUUAAAUGAAGGUUAUUAACCUCCUCUACUCCCACCCUUGGGUCCAUGAACAUCCCUUCUUAGAGGGAAUGAAUGGCUGAAAACAAAGGGAACCUUUAAGGGGGGAGGUUGCCUAGGCCUGAGGGUCUCAUUGUUUAUCAUGGAAAAGAACAAUGCUGUCUUGGUUCUUCCCUGGAAUCACAUGCUCUGUGGCCACUUAUGCCUAGCAACUAGGGGAAAGCAAGCACCCUUUGGACAUGGGUCUUUUUUAGACUCUUAAGUCAACAACCAGCAGAAGGCUAUGGCCAGGCUGCCACAGACAUGAAGGGACUCCCACUGAGCCAGAAGCCCUCCCACAAGACUAUCUCAUGCACUCGAGGAUAUCCUCCAAAGGCUCAUCCUGAUCUCUGUUCCCCUCCCCACAAGAUGCAAUCCUAUGUCUAUCAUUUAUCUUCAGCCGCUUUGUGAGGAAGGCUGGACAGAUUUUUCCCCCCAAAAAACCGCAAGUUGAGGAAACUGAUUGAGGCAGAAGUUAAGUGACUUGCCCAGAAUCACAAAGCCAACACCAUCUUCCAAGUGAACAAAUAAUCACGAGUGCUUGUUGUGUGCCUAGCCCUGUGAUAAGACAACCAUCAGCCCAGAGUUCCUAUUGUAUGUUACUUCAACUCUCUAGGCCUCAGUUUCCCUGUAAAAUGAGAGCAUUGGACUAGAUGGCCUUUAAGCUGCUUUUCACCUCCUAACCUCUAAAUAAAAAUAAAUUUUAUUCUUCUUUACUUUUUUCUGCUUCCUGUCUCCCUUAGCUAGCUAAAGAAUUGAAAUAUGCUUUAUAUUAUUUAUUAUAGUCUUUAUUUCCUGAGCUGAGUUUUAUGUUUGAUCCUCUUAAGUUAAAAAGUGGAAGCCUAGGAUGCUUUAUUUUUCUUUUAAAAAAAAGUGACUUUUAAACAUAUAUGGGUCUCUGUCAAUUAAAAAAAAAAUUGGGGGCAGCUGGGUAGCUCAGUGGAUUGAGAAUCAGCCCUAGAGACCGGAGGUCCUAGGUUCAAAUCUGGCCUCAGACACUUCCUAGCUGUGUGACCCUGGGCAAGUCACUUGACCCCCAUUGCCUAGCCCUUACCACUCUUCUGCCUUGGAGCCAAUACCCAGUAUUGAUUCUAAGAUGGAAGGUAAGGGUUUAAAAAAAAUCCUUACCUUCUGUCUUAGAACCAAUCCUAUGUAUUUGGUCCAAGGUAAAAGAGAAGUAUGGGCUAGGCAAUUGGGGUUUAAGUGACUUGCCCAGGGUUGCACAGCUAUGCAUCAUCUGAAGUCACAUUUGAACCCAUGACCUCACUUCUCAGGGUCUAGUUCUCAAUUGUUGAUUUAUUUUUGAGGGUGAAUGAUCCUAAAAAAAAGGCUCCUGACUUUUGCAGUUAAGGCUUGAGGACACCCCCCUUCUUUUUCUAUUGCCAAGAAGCCGGCUUUGGAUUCAAUGACAGCCUUCUUUCCUUCCUCUUCUUCCCCCUCUGAAGUGCAUGGUCUGUAUCUCCUGCCUGCAGGAUAAUUUCUCCAAGCUUCCCAUUCAUUGCUCUCUCUCUCCUGACCAGGGCCCAACUUUUCCUACCUGCACUGCCUUGUUGCCAGGUCCCUAAGGACCUCCUUUUGGUCAAGCCUGAGGGAGGUAAAAAGUGCCCCUUUACAGAUCAGGUUAGCAGGCUCCACUCCCUACAAUUGAAAGGGCUUCUGCCUACAAGGUUCUACAGGUCGCCUUCUGUCCUGACAGCUUUGAGAAGUCAUCACCUGAAGUGCUAUUAGGAGACAGGGCACAGCCUCUUCUCCUAAAACACCACAGAAAUGUUCUAUCACUUUCUUUCUUCCUAGCAGAACCAUAACUGAGAAUUUUUCAGUGUGGACAAAGUGGGGAGGGAACAGAGUGGUUUAGGGGGAGCUCUCCUGGGAUGUUGCUGCUGGGGGUGGGGGAAGGAAGAAUGCCUAGGGCUUGUGCUGUUGGCACCCUCUAAAUUUUGAUGGCCUAGACAAAGCUCCACUCACUCCGUUCUCAUUACAGCUCUGCUUCACAGUAACCCAUGCCAGGAUUUCACCCACCAUAGCCAGCUUCUUCCUCAUGUCUACUUGUCAUCCCUCUAGUUGCAUCUUAAGGCCACUUCUUCUUGCUCUGACCUCAGAGGAAAUGGAAAACAGGGGGUCACCCAAUUGCUUUCUUUCUAGGGCACCUUUCCAAAGGAAAAAUUCUGGAGGUAAAUCCAUUAUAAAAGCUCAAUGAAGAAUGGAUAAGAAACAUUGCAAUUUGUUUGGACCUUGGAGUCAGGAGAUCUGUGUUCUGUUCUCUACUCUUAUAUUUACUGUGACAUGGACAAGUCACUUAAACUCUCUGAAUCUCAAGCUUUCUCCUCAGUAAAAUGGGGCAAAUAACCCCCAUACACUUACUCUGUAGGACUGUUGAAAAACAAUGUGAAUUUUAAAGCACAAGAGAUAUGGAAGCUUAUCAUUUACAGAAGAUAUUAAGAAACCCAUUAUCAUUAUCAUCAAUCGUUCAGCUGGGGAGUCAGAAGCCCUGGGCUCUGCCACUGACUAGUGAUAUGAUGGGCAAAUCACUUCACCCCUUGGAUCUCUGCAAAAUAAGGAGCUGUAUCAAUGGCGAAAGAAACUGGUAGUCGUGAGAUAUUCUAUACUAUAUGAAACAAUGAAUAUGAAGAAUUCUUAAAAGAUGGGGAGAUUUCUUUGAACAGCAUUAGAGUUAAAUAAGCAGAACUGAGGAAACACAAUAUACACAAUGACCACAAAUAGGGAAACUAAAACAAUAACAAAGAAUAAAUGGAAUUGAUUUCCUUGUUUGGAGAGAACUACAGAUAAGUGACAGUGCAUUAAUUCUGGUGAUGCAGUAGUUUUGUUCAACAUUUUUAAAAAAAAUCUUUUAUUCUUUAUUAUGAGAGAUUAUUCACUGUAUGGGUGAGAGGGGAAUGGUAUAUUUGGAAAUGUUUGUAGUUAUUUCAUGACAUCAGUAGAGUCUGACUCUUUGUGACCCCAUUUGGAGUUUUCUUGGUCAAUAUACUCUAGUAGUUUGCUAUUUCUUUCCUUCUCCAUUUCAUUUUACAGAUAAGGAAAUGGAGGUAAAUGGGGCUAAGUGACUUGCCCAAAGUCCCACAGCUAUUAAGUAUUUGGGGUCAGAUUUGAGCUCAUGAAGAUUAGUCUUCCUGACUCCAGGGCUGGCACUCUAUCCACAUCUACAUUUGGAAAUGUGGAUGAUAUAAAAAUAAAAGAAAUUCAAUCAAUUUAGAUAAUAAAAAUAGUAAAUCAAAUUAAAGUUUUUUGAAUGAAGAGGCUAGACUAGAUGAUGUUUUCAGAGAUGUAAUUUCAUAAAGAAUAUAUUAUUUAUUUAUUUUUAAAUCUUAUGCUCUAUCAUGGAAUCAAUACUGUGUAUUGGUUCCAAGGCAGAAUAGUAAGGGCUAGGCCAGUGAUGGUGAAUCUUUUAGAAACCAAGUGCCCAAAGGACAACCCUCAUGCUGCAUGCACCCAACCCCCCCUUUAGCCCAGACAAGGGAGGAAGGAAGCACUCCCAUUGGACUGCUGGGCAGAGGGGCGGGUCAUGGGAGAAACAUCCUCAGGCAUAGUAGAGAGGGGGAGGGGAGCAGCCCCCUCCAGCAUGCUCAGGCACAUGAACCAUAGCUUUGCUAACAUGGAGCUAGGCAAUUGGGGUUAAGUGAAUUACCCAGGGAUAUACAACCAGGAAGUAUCUGAAGCUAGAUAGGAACCCAAGACCUAUCCUCUCUAGGCCUGGUUGUCAAUUCACUAAGCUACCUCAAUGUCUCCAAGAAUUAAUUAUUUAUGUUGACCUGUUUCCUUCCCCUUAGUAACUAGAGCAACCUGGGAGGGUUCACCCAGAGCUGACUCCAGGCGAGGAGCUGCUCCCUUCCUAUAGGUGCCCACUAAGAGGAAUGGGAUGAAAAUGCAACAAGAGGGCAUUAGGGCAGGCAACAAGAAAAACUGCUGGACAAAUGGAGAAGGGCUAUUCUCAACAUAUCACAACCUUACACAGUCAUUGGGAGAGAAGGAAAGGCAGAAGUCAGAUUGGGAGAAGCCCUGGAGAGCACAUUACUUACAUUGAUGGGGAGAGUAAGGGCAUAGGUGGGAACUGGGCCUUCAUUUUCACUGAAACUCAACCUGAAGACAUAACCUGCUUUCUGCAUGUUUGGAGCUACGAGGGAAGGUCCUCAAAGGAACUACUCAUUUUGGGUGCAUUGAUGAAGCCAGAUGUUAGCUGUUGGCAUUAUACUUGGAGUCACCCUAUCUUUCUGCUUCUUUACCCUAUAGUUGUCCUCAGGCUGCUGUGUCUACCUCCUUUCUUCUUCAUGCCUCUGUGAGCCUCCAACUUUAUUUAUUUUAUUUUAUUUUUUAAACCCUUACCUUCCGUCUUAGAAUCAAUACUGUGUAUUGGCUCC